UGGGGAAUUUUGGACAAUGGGCGCAAGCCUGAUCCAGCCAUGCCGCGUGAGUGAAGAAGGCCUUCGGGUUGUAAAGCUCUUUCGGCGGGGACGAAACGGUUCGUGACAACACCACGGACUAAUGACGGUACCCGCAUAAGAAGCACCGGCUAACUACGUGCCAGCAGCCGCGGUAAUACGUAGGGUGCAGGCGUUAAUCGGAAUUACUGGGCGUAAAGCGUGCGCAGGCGGUUUGUUAAGACAGGUGUGAAAUCCCCGGGCUUAACCUGGGAAUUGCGCUUGUAACUGGCAGGCUAGAGUGUGGCAGAGGGGGUAGAAUUCCACGUGUAGCAGUGAAAUGCGUAGAUAUGUGGAGGAAUACCGAUGGCGAAGGCAGCCCCCUGGGAUAACACUGACGCUCAUGCACGAAAGCGUGGGGAGCAAACAGGAUUAGAUACCCGUGUAGUCCCUGAGCGGGCUGGCAAGGCGCAU
rnacentral:rRNA from 1 species